GAUCGCCGUGUGCGGUGAAAGCCGCCUGCACGGUGAAGGCUCGUUCGAAAGCCGUAAGGUAUAAGACGGGAAU
rnacentral:misc_RNA from 1 species